UACUCGAUUGCAUUUAGUUCCGUUUUCGCCGGCGUUUGGGCGAUUACUAGUUCCAAGCAUCUGAAUUGAGAGAAGAUGAGUGGUAACAGUGCUGUUGCCAUGGACUCCUUGAAGUCUGGACAACAGCUCAUCACGUUCGAGGACUGCGAGUCGUCCAGCAUCACGCACGACUCUGUGGUCGUGCUGCCGUCGGACAGUGCGCACGCCACGGGCUCCUCGCACGUCAAGAUGAAGACGAUAGUCGAUUACGCCUGGGACCAUAAGUACUACGACGGACACAUUGCCGCCAGUCGCGGGGAGUACCUGGCCUACGCCAUCAAAGCCAAGUCGGGCGGUGUGGUGCGGGUGGUGAGUCGCGGAACAGACGACCGAGCGCUCAUCAAAGGCAUGACCGGAGCCGUCAAAGACCUGGCGUUCGCGCACACCAACAACGAAACGCUGCUGGCAGUGGUGGACGAGAUGGGCAACCUAUCUGUCUUCAAGAUCGACGAGGACCUCAACAAGAAGCUGGUCGUCUCGCCGUACCUCGGCCUGCGCCUGGUUCACGAGACUCCGCCACCGCCGAGCACCAUUCACCGGGUGGUCUGGUGCCCGUACAUCCCUGAUGAUGACUGUGACGAUCAGGAGACCGAGGAGACGGCCAAACUGCUGCUGGUCACACACGGCAACAGGGCGCACCUGCUGAACGUGGCCAUCAUGGUGGAGGAGCACGGGCCGGGUCCGCUGCUGGUCGGCGACGUCAGCGAGGGCUUCAUGGAGAUUCUCGACCACGGACAGGCGGUGACCGACGCCGCCUUCUCACCGGACGGCACCGCACUGGCCACCGCGUCCGUGGAUGGAUACGUCAAGUUCUAUCAGAUCUACAUGCAGGACAAGGACAGUCCGCGGAUGCUGCACGAGUGGCAGCCGCACGACGGCCAGCCGCUCUCCUCACUGUUCUUCCUGGACAACCACCGCGACCAGGACCCCGGUGAGCCGUUCUGGAAGUACGCCGUGACGGGCGCCUGUCAGAACACCGAGCUCAAGGUGUGGACGUGCGAGUCCUGGAACUGCCUGCAGACGAUCCGGCUGCAGCCGUCUCCGGCCGACGAGCUGUCUGCCGCGCCGCCGGCGGCCAGUCUUCAGGCGGCACUGGACUCGUCGGCCCAGUACCUGCUGCUCAGCGAUAUACACCGGAGGAUGCUGUACGUGCUGAGUCUCUCUCCGCCGGAGGUGGCCGUCAAAUACUUCACCUCGGUGCACGAGUUCCGACUGAUGACCCCUGGCCUGUCCCUGGCCAUCGUGGACGCUCGCCGACGCCGCAUCAAACCGUUCGAGAACGUCGACCAGCUCGAGUCUGGCGCCGGUUGCGGUGACCCGCUGGGCGGCGGUCUGUCGGGCGGCGCCGAGGAAGCCGAGGAUGACACGCUGCCCGAGGGUGUCGUCAUUCGGUGCUACAUGGUGCAGCCACGAUCCCUGCAGGAGUGUGUCAUCGUGUACCAGAGCGCUACUGGGGAGCGGCAUGGCACGGCCGGGGCGGGCGGUGCGCUGCCUGACGCCGUCAGUAGUCAGAAUGGCGAGAGCCUGGUGGACCUGACGGAUAACCUGUCGGACCUCACCCUCAACACCACCGCGUCAGCGUCAGCUGCCGACAGUGUGGUCGAGGUGGGCACGACCCCUGAGCAGCCGCCGCCGCCGCCGACCCCGCCGCAGCCCGCCGCCUCAGGAGUCAUCAGCCUAAUGACUCCCGAGGAGUUCACCUCGCCCUCUCGGAUUCCGGACGUCGUGUCGCCUCCGGGCCCGGCCGCCAGGACCGCUCAGACGGCACGUGCCUCAAUGGAGCUGACAGGGUCACCAGCCGCCGGUGACGCCGCAGUCGGAGACUCAGAGCCGGGCACGCCCAAAUUCCAGGCCGCGUCACCGCUGGAGCGGAAGCCUGAGCCGCCCAGCAAGAAAGACCCCAACAGCUGUGGUAGCUCGCCAUCUAUUGAAGUUCAGGAGAUACUCAAUAAGAGCUCCGAGACGACGACAGAGGCGAAGACCACGCCGCUUAAGUCGCUGUUCCCGUCUCCGCCGCUGCCGCCGCCGCCGGGCGCUGCCAAGGCACCGAGCGGCGGUGGUGCGCCUCCUCUCUCCACAGCCGCCGCCGCCGCCCCCGCUGCCGCUGUACCGCCGGCCGCCGUCUCCUCCCCGGCCGUCUCCGGCCCGUCCUCACUCAGCUCCAGCAGCCAGAACGGCUGGCCGACCAUCCCUGCCGUGCCCGCGGCGCCGGCGGCCGCGCCCGCCGCGCCGCCCGCCCCCGCCCCCGCCGCCGCGGUCUCUGCAGUCCCUGCCGCCGCCCCUGCUGCUGUUCCUGCCGCCGCUGCGGCAGUCCUUGGAGUGGGUGGUGUUGUAGGAGGAGUGGUGCCCGCCGCUCCUGCAGCCGUCGGCAGCGUGCCGCUGGGCGGUGGUGACGAGAAGGCCGCCGUCGGCUCGGGCGCCGUGCUGGGCGCCGUCACGUCCGUGCUCGGCCUGGUCCGAGAGCUGAGCACGGAGGUGCAGCAGCUGCGGGCGCAGGUGCAGCAGCUACAGCAGCGCCAGAAGGCGCCGCCGCCGCCGGCACCGUCCACCGCGCCGGCCGAUAUCAGCCGACUGCUGGAGACCGCGCUCAACACCCACCAAAGGCACAUUGAGGACCUGCUUCUGAACCGGGACCGGGACGAGCGGCAGCGUCUGGAGCGUCAGAUCAGCUCGAUGACCGGCUCUCUAUCGUCCACCAUCAAACAGAAGGUGGACAGCGCCGUCAAACAGGAGUUCAAGGACCACGUACUGCCGCUGGUCACCAGUCGCCUGAAGCCGCUCGAGGGCCAGAUUCGGCACGAAAUGAGCGCCCGAAUCGGUGACGUCGAGGCCGCCGUCAAAGAAUCCAUCGGCAAAACUGUCAACGUCAAGGCGGUGAGCGAGUCGGUGGCGCACGCGCUGACACAGAGCCUGCAGCAGGCUAUGGUGGCGCGCUACAGAGAGGUGUUCAGUAGCACCGCCCUGCCGGCCUUCGAGCGCUCCACACGAGAGAUGGUGCACCAGAUCAACGGAACGUUCUCAGCGGGAACCAAAGAGUAUCUGCAGCAGUUGGAGCAACAGGCGGACCGUGCGCGGCGGCACCGCGAGCCCUUACUGCAGCACGUGCAGGCAUCGCUGGACGCCGUCCGACUCUCAGUCGAACACCUCGGCAACACAGUCAAAGACGAACGCCAGAGGCACGAGAAACACAGACAGGAGGAGGCGGCGUUUCUGGGCCAGGUCCGCGAGGAGAUCCGCCGCAGUGUGUCGGCCGCCCUGGAGGAGCACAGUGCGCGGGCCGCCACCCCGGCCGUGCCGUCCGGAGCGGUGACCCCUACCGUACAGCAGCAGCAGCAGCAGCAGCAACAGCGGCGCCAGCAGAUCGCCCGGCUGGUGGAGAGCAAACAGUGGGACCCCGCCUUCCAGAUGGCGCUGUCGGCCUCCGACCUGGACCUGGUGGUGAUGUUGUGUGAGAUGCUGGACCCGCAGCAGCUGUUCGCCGAGUCGCCGCCGUGCCCCCUCCAGCAGCCCGUCCUUCUGGCUCUGGUGCAGCAGCUGUCGGCCGACCUCAGCAAGAAGACCGACCUCAAGCGCAGGUACCUGGAGGAGGCUGUGAUGCAGAUCGACACCCAGUGCCCGGCUACCAAGGAGCACAUGCCGCACGUGCUGGCCUCGCUGCAGAGCCAGCUGCAGGCCUACAUCGGCCAGGCGGGCGCGCAGCAGACGCCCCUGGUGCGCAGUAUGAGGAUGCUGCUGAUGGCUGUGCGCUCCCUGGCCUCGUAGUGCUUCCUUGUGACGCGCACCCCUCUCCGGUCCGCCGCCCAGGCUGUCGACGCCUGGCGCAGGGCUAGGUGAGCCUGUCCUGACGUGGGCGACUUUCACAAAGUGUGGCCGAUGUCCGGGAAGGCGCGGGUUGGGCUAGGGGAACGCUGCUGUGGCUUCUUCGCCGCUCGCGCCUAGCGCUGGGGGUCGUCCUGGGCUCAGGCUUUGGAGAUUACGAGCGAGGCCUGCCCGGGAGGAUCUCGGCGGUGCGAGGGGGGGGGGUGGCGUUUUACUCGUGUUGACGGGGAGGUGGCGGGGCACCGGUACCCCGUCCGCCGAGGCUGUGGUGCGCGCGGGGUCGGGCCGACUGACUGAGACUGUGUUCCCGGUGACUGAGUACGUUAGGUGAGGAUCGGACGGCGCCGUGCUACCCUGCCGGUGCUACGGGGAGGGCCAGGGGUGCUGAUGUGAUCGGUCCGCCGCGCGGUCCUCCUCGGAUCCGCCCGGCCGGCACCCGUGUUGUAUAGCUAAGGUGAUGUCUUCUGUACUCUGAUAUGUGCCGCUCCGGAGCCAGGGACGUUCUGAUUGGUUCUCUCGUUUUGUGCUGGCUUCACUCGUCCCGUACUGCUUAGUCCUAAGUUCAAUGUACAGACUGAUUCAGACCAGCGAAGGAAUAAACGUAAGAAGUUGGAUGGCAGCGUU
rnacentral:misc_RNA from 1 species